CUGUCCCAAUCUAAUCUAGUGGGUUCAAAAAGAAGGGACCACGCUGGAAACAUGAGUGGAUUAAAAGGAUCAGCCCUUUUUGAAUUAAUAGUCGAAGUGGUAACCAGCUAGAAGUCGUAACCUGCUCGUAUGAAAGGAUUUCUCGACGUGAAAUUGUUAAUUUUAUUCAACAACGCCAAGAAACAGAGCUCGCUCAAGAAACAGAAAAGAAAGAGAAAGA